rnacentral:rRNA from 1 species
AGUGAACGCUGGCUGUAGGCCUAACACAUGCAAGUCGAACGGCAGCACAGUAAGAGCUUGCUCUUACGGGUGGCGAGUGGCGGACGGGUGAGGAAUACAUCGGAAUCUACUUUUUCGUGGGGGAUAACGUAGGGAAACUUACGCUAAUACCGCAUACGACCUACGGGUGAAAGCAGGGGAUCUUCGGACCUUGCGCGAUUGAAUGAGCCGAUGUCGAAUUAGCUAGUUGGCGGGGUAAAGGCCCACCAAGGCGACGAUCCGUAGCUGGUCUGAGAGGAUGAUCAGCCACACUGGAACUGAGACACGGUCCAGACUCCUACGGGAGGCAGCAGUGGGGAAUAUUGGACAAUGGGCGCAAGCCUGAUCCAGCCAUACCGCGUGGGUGAAGAAGGCCUUCGGGUUGUAAAGCCCUUUUGUUGGGAAAGAAAAGCAGCAGGUUAAUACCCCGCUGUUCUGACGGUACCCAAAGAAUAAGCACCGGCUAACUUCGUG